CCGCGGGUCCCGGGACAUCGCGGCCACUUGUGAAGCCCUGGAGGGGCCCGGCCCGGGGGAGCGCGCACGCCCUCGGCGCCGUGCCCCGGGGGACACCCCAGGACGAGUCCUGAUCCUGCCAGGGGCCGCCCCUUCUCCACCCUGGGGGCCCCAUGGACUGACCAGGGAGAGAAUCUGGCGGAUGUGACUGUGUGUGAUUUCUGCAACUAGAGGAUAAGAGACAUCGCAACUUCCUCCCAACUCUUGGUCACUUGCUCUGGGGGACGCCAGCCACCAUGUCGUGAGGUCACCCAGGCAGCUCUGUGGAGAAGUCUAUGUGGGUCACUGGAGUGAUUUUCAAACAUGUUGCUCAAAUCCUCACCCUCCGUCCCGUCUCCAAAGUAGAGCUCGUCAAACAUUUUCCCAGAGGCGGUAGGAUGGAGUCCAGUGUCCUUGGCCUAGUGUUUCCAUAUUUCAAAAUAACGGGCAGGCAGUGAGAUAUGGGUGCCUGCGGGAUUCGACCUCGAGGAUCAUCCACACUUUAGGAGUGUGAGAGACUCUGCCUGGCAUGGCUGGAAGGCUUCCUGGAAGAGGAGGCUUUGAAGCAAAGCAGAAGCCAAAAACGGUCAGAGAGGUGGGAGGAGAAUGAAAAAUGUGCGUGUCAGGGAAGUCCAGGGAAGAGGACAUUUUAGGGAGGAGAAAAUGGCCAGCUAUAGCCGUGCUGCAGAGAGAUUAGAAAGCUGGCAGGAGCUUAGGGUAAGGAAAGAAGGGAGGCUCUUUUUGGCAGAACAAUGCAAGUAGUGAAUGUAGAAGUCAUAGGAUUAGAAAAUCAUUUUGCAACCAUCAGUGUAAUAGCUGAUUCAAGCAACCAGUAUCCUUGUAUGCAAAAACCAUUGGGUGAAAGUUGCCGGAGGCCAGGAUCACCACACAAUCCCCAAGUAUCCUCCCCGUAGAUUGCCCAUCAAUUUCAAAGGGGGAAAAGGCACUUUUGCAAUGGCGAGAUGCUCAUAGAUUGAUGCUCAUAAGAUUGGCAAACGUAGGAUGGGAACAAACAACACCACUUGCCUCUUAAUACAUGCACUGAGAAGGACACAAGGUUACUUCUGAGAUCAGGCUGCCAACAAUGCAAAACUUGAAUCAAUUCCUGAAAUGUCAGUCCUAGUCCGGAUUGGGGGACCCCCUCUAGCACAGCUGGCCUGAAUCCUUGAAAAACAUCCGUCAGGAAAUGCACAAAAAUGUCAGGGAGACUGCUGUAGGUUAAAAAGGAGACUAAAGAGAUAUUGAAAGAAAAUGCAACGUGUGAUCCCAGAUUGAGUCCUGGAUUUCUUGUCCCUCAUUCUCUUCCAACCCCCUCCCCCCCCAAAAAAAAAAUACAAGUUAUCAAAGAUAUCUUGGGACAGUGAUGAAACUUGAACAUU